UUGAACGCUGGCGGCAGGCCUAACACAUGCAAGUCGAACGGUAACAGGAAACAGCUUGCUGUUUCGCUGACGAGUGGCGGACGGUUGAGUAAUGUCUGGGAAACUGCCUGAUGGAGGGGGAUAACUACUGGAAACGGUAGCUAAUACCGCAUAACGUCGCAAGACCAAAGAGGGGGUCCCUCGGGCCUCUUGCCAUCUGAUGUGUCCAGAUGGGAUUAGCUUGUUGGUGGGGUAACGGCUCACCAAGGCGACGAUGCCUAGCUGGUCUGAGAGGAUGACCGGCCACACUGGAACUGAGACACGGUCCAGACUCCUACGGGAGGCAGCAGUGGGGAAUAUUGCACAAUGGGCGCAAGCCUGAUGCAGCCAUGCCGCGUGUAUGAUGAAGGCCUUCGGGUUGUAAAGUACUUUCAGCGGGGAGGAAGGGAGUAAAGUGAAUACCUUUGCUCAUUGACGUUACCCGCAGAAGAAGCACCGGCUAACUCCGUG
rnacentral:rRNA from 1 species